rnacentral:misc_RNA from 1 species
UUUUAACAGAAAAAAAAUGAUUGCCUUUAUUGAUGAAAGAAUGUUUAUGAGAUACAAAUAAAUGAUAUGCUCUAAAGCAUACUACUAACAUUGCCUCCAACAUCAAUUAAAUGUAAGAGCAUAAAAAUCAUUACCUUCAUAGGUGUCAUAUUAUAUGUAGAUACACCAGUUAUUGGAGUUGAACUUCGAUUCUCAGCCGCGUAAAAUGCAAGAGCACUUUCUCCUGGCUUUACCCUUACUUGAAGAAAAUAAAGUAUUACAGUGAAGAACUAAAGUUAAAUAAAGAGCAUCUGAUUAAUUGUCAAAACAUAAGUUGUAUGCAAAGGAGAACCGCUCCUUGUGUGGGAAUAAACUUCCACGGCAUUCCAUCAGCCACAUCAACAUUAAAUUGCACCACAAUCUCCUUACAAGAGAGAGAGAGAGUCAUCAAGACAAUGCACACAUAAUAUUUUUAAAGAAAAUUGAGGAGUUGCAUACCACAAUUGUCAUGUGUCGCAGCAAUGCAUGGAAGCAUGGGACAAGCCUAAGUGUGCACACUUACUAUAAUUGAAAAAUAGCCAUUCUAAGCAUAGUUUGAAUCUCAGGAAGAAAAGAAAUCAUUCAAGUAUGCAUCAUUUUAUGAGUACUGUCAAGCCCACGAUUAACAUUGAAACAUGUAUGUGCUUGUGGAAUUGUGAAUUCAAAGUGAAGUAGACAAGGGAGCGCUGGUUCUUUCACAAUAAAAAUAUCAAACCCAUGGCAAGCAUUCCAAAAACACAAAAACAAAAAAGGGCAUCAAAGGGUAGUUCAACAAUCCAAAGAUGAGUAAUCUGCACAAAGACUACUACAUAAAAGCAAGAUGACAAUGACACAAGGCAAAGUAGUGUAACAUUUUAACUGAAUUCUAGGAAGAACUUAUAUUACCAUGAUUGUUAUCAAUCUCAUGAGUAACAAUCUCAACAGAAUGAAAUAUAUCUAAAAACUACUAGAUCACAAAACUUUCUCCCUACAUUUAUUUAUAGAGAGAAAAAAAUAACUACAAAAUUUAACACCCAAAUAAAGAGAGGAGAAAAAAAGAAGGAACCUUGUAGUGACUGUUCCUUCUUUAGCAUGCCGUGCAAUCUUCUCUUCAACGCUCUCACGGUGCUAAAUGGUCCCUCCAUAACCAGUAGCUUGGCAGAACAUUCUAUUCAGAGGAACAGCAGCAUAAACAUUCCCAACCAUUGCAAUUACCAAACCCGUUAGAUAUAUUAGCAUUUUUCUCGAUUUUUGCUCUGUGCUAGUUGAACCAUGAUAAGUAGCGUAAUGAUUCUUAAUACAACUAUUACCAAGCCAAUGAGCGAUUGUUGGUGUGCUAACUUCACAUCUUGGUACAGAAAUCCUAUUGUGAUCCCAAAACUAGGCCAAUUACGUGUAGUGCUGCUGUUCCUCUAAUUGUUCACUCCGUUGAAAUCAUAAACCCUAUUUAUUAAAAAAGAAAAGGUUUCUGCUUUAAAUAGAAAGAAAGGGUGUGCGAUGUCUUAUGGAACUUGGCUAUGGAGUAAUUUACCAGGACUUAAGAUUACGAUUUUGGAGGAUAGAUUUCAGGUGAGGACUUAUUCUAGCUCCAGCGAUACAUGACCAUGACAUUUUUCCUGUAGAGAUUUUAAUAAUAAUUUAUUACAAUAUCAAAAUUUUGAUGAGUUCAAUUUCGAGAUGGGGUUUGGGUCCUCAGAAAGAGAAAGAAAAUCGAGAGAGAAUGAUGGAGUACGGCGGGAAUAACCAGGCCAUGUUCGCUAAAUUUCCUAUACAAAACGGUGCCGUUGGAAAGAGAGCAGAACCGCCGAAAAAAGGAGUGAAAUUCCUAGACGUCGCCGUUUAGGGUGUGAGAUAAAUUUUCCUCGACCCCCGAUUAUUUAUUCCCCAUAGGAGGCAAAAGAAAGAAGGAAGGACGGAAGAGGGAGAAAAAUGCCGCUGGCUAGACCCGAAUCAUUGGAUUCCAGAAUCAUUGCUCACAUUGACAUGGAUUGCUUCUACGUUCAAGUGGAGCAGCGGAAGCAGCCACAUUUAAGGGGUUUGCCUACUGCUGUUGUGCAGUACAAUGAGUGGAAAGGUGGAGCUUUGAUUGCUGUUAGCUAUGAGGCUCGAAAAUUUGGAGUGAAGCGUUCCAUGCGAGGUGAUGAAGCAAAGCAAGUAUGCCCUCAAAUUCAGUUGGUCCAAGUCCCUGUAGCACGUGGUAAAGCUGACUUGAAUGCUUACCGCAAUGCUGGUUCUGAGGUGGUUUCCAUUCUUGCAAGGAAGGGUCGAUGUGAGAGGGCUUCCAUUGAUGAAGUUUAUCUUGAUCUUACUGAUUCUGCAGAAGCUAUGCUAAAAGAAAGUCCUCCGCAUAGCUUGGAAUCAAUAGAUGCGGAAGCUCUCAAAUCACAUGUUUUGGGGCUUAAGAAUGAGGUAUGUGGCAGUGCUUUUCAGUCAAUCGGUAGAUGCUAAAUUCUCGUUGUCUCUUAAAGGAAGAUUUCUGGAAAUCUCAAGGUGGGAAGGGAUGCUAGGCUCUUUCAUUGUUAGAUUGGUCCUCUUAGCACAAUUUUAAUACCCUGCUCCUUUAAUGCUGUUAAAGACAUAAAACAUUACAUAGCCACUCACCACCUUUUAUUGGCCUCUUCCUCCUCUUGUUGCUGCUCUCUCACCCCGUAUGAGUUGAAUGAUUGGAGACUUUAAAGAGUUGUCUUUCUCAGUUUUUAUUGUUUUCUUUGCUUGUCUAUAAAGCAAACAGCAAAAAGGAAGAGAAACUUACCUUUUACUCUCUUCCCCUUUAACGUAAAUCCAAAUUUGAAGUUAUAAUUCAUUAAUUUACAGCAACACAGACUUAAUUCAUUAAUUUACAGCAACACAGACUUCUUUUAUGUGAAAAAGAAAAAGUUUUUUUUUUGGCUAUUCUGGACUUUGCAUUGGUUUCAGAAUGGACAUGAUGCGAAAGAAAAGGUAAGGGAGUGGCUAUGUAGGAGUGAUACUGAUCACCGGGAGAAGUUAUUAGCUUGUGGGGCCAUCAUAGUUGCAGAACUUAGAAUGCAAGUUUUGAAGGCUACUGAAUUUACUUGUUCUGCUGGCAUUGCUCAUAAUAAGAUGCUGGCCAAACUUACAAGUGGUAUGAAUAAACCUGCACAACAAACUGUUGUGCCCUUCUCAUCUGUGAAAGCAUUGCUUGAUUCGUUGCCAAUCAAGAAAAUGAAACAGCUCGGAGGGAAACUGGGGACUUCCUUACAAAAUGACCUGGGUGUAAACACUGUUGGAGGCCUGCUGCAGUUUUCAGAGGAGAAGCUACAAGAUCGUUAUGGCAUAAAUACAGGUACCUGGUUGUGGAACAUUGCUAGAGGGAUCAAUGGGGAAGAAGUUCAGGGACGCCUUCUUCCUAAGAGCCAUGGUUCUGGCAAGUCAUUUCCGGGUCCUCGGGCUUUAAAGACAAUUGUUUCUGUCCAGCACUGGAUCAAUCAACUCGGUGACGAGCUCAGUGAACGUCUAUGCUUUGAUUUGGAACAAAACAAGCGGAUGGCACACACCCUUACCUUGCAUGCAAGUGCAUACAAGUUGAGUGACUCAGAUUCACAUAAGAAGUUCCCUUCAAAAUCUUGCCCUUUGAGGUAUGGGACUGCCAAGAUUCAAGAAGAUGCAUUCAACCUGUUUCAAGCUGGAUUACGUGAGUAUUUGGGCUCGUGUGGAGUAAAAAUUCAAGGAAGUAAUCACAAUGGAUGGGGAAUAACAGCUCUUUCUGUUUCAGCAAGUAAAAUUGUUGCUGUACCUUCUGGAACAUGUUCAAUCAUGAAAUAUUUUCAAGGCCAGUAUCCAUCCCACUCAUCUUCAAAGCAAACUCCAGAUAACUUCAUCCAAGAAUCUGCACCACUAUUGUCAUCAGGUACUGAAAGCUAUUCAGAACUGAAAUCAGCUGAGCCACAAAGUGACUAUAAUUUUCCUUGUUUGGAUCUACAAGGACAGAAAAUCAGUGAAUCGAGAGAUAAAGAUUCAUUUUGCUCUUCGCCCAAACAAGCAAAAGAUGGCUUUGCCCUAGAAACUUCACAGCCAACUUCACAGCCAUUACCCUCAGGUGUCAUCUUUUUUAUGUUGGAACAGCUUGUGAUUCCUGCAGUGAUAUUUUGAAUUAAGUAAUCAAGGUUAAUUGUUCAUUCAGGUGGUGAAAGUUGUUCAGCAGUAAACCAAAGCAACUCACGGGGAUGUUUCUUUAGGGAUGACACUAGGGUUAUACUGCCUAAAUUAGAACAACAGGAACAGAAAAGAAAUGCCUUGGAAGACAAGGGCACAAUCCUCAAGUUCUUCAAGAAGAGCAAUCCCUCUUGCUCUAAACCAAAACUGGAGAAUGUUGGCGUGGUUCAAGAGUUGAAUUUAGGUUUAGAAGCGAAUGAAGUUGAGCUGCCAAAGGAGAGUCUUCUUCUUGCAGAGUGCAGCACAAAUGAUUGCAGACAUAGUUUAAGUCAGAAUGUACAUAGAGAAGCAUGGCAUUACAAGAUUGAUGAGAUUGACCCAUCAGUGAUUGAUGAGUUACCACAAGAAAUCCAAGAUGAAGUCCGGUCUUGGCUUCGGCCUCGCAAGCGGCCUAAUACAGUUAAACAAGGUUUGACCAUAGCCCAUUAUUUCCCUCCAACUAAAGCAACAUAGGCAAUGAGUGAUAGUGAACCUUGACACCCUGCAUAGGAGUAUCAUCCAACUUAAUUGUGAAGCAUUGUACUACUGGAUUUGAUGGACUGUUUUAUUUGGGGAGAAUUACGUUGGACUGGGGCAUAAAAAUCUAAAUGUCUAUGGGUAAAUCCGUAUAGUGAGGUGUGUACAUUGUGUGAUUUGAGAUAGGAUGCAAACAUGCUGUCUUACUGCCCAAGAAAACAGAACUUCAAAGUGUAUUAUGAAGGGUACAUGUACAGCCGUAUGGAGAAAAUGAUAAUGGUGGUUUUGGCCUACAAGGUAUGGGUGAGCAAAUUCGGUUAUAAUCGAAAAAUUGAAUCGAAUCAUUUUAAUUUAGUUUUUCAAUUUCGUUUUUCAAUUGGUUCUGUUAGUAUUUUGUAAAAAGUUUGGUCUUCUUGUUUUCAUUAAAAAAACAGGAAAAAAAAAAGUGACUGAUUUGUUUAAUUUGUGAUCUAUUUAUUGAAUUUAUAGACUUUUAUAGAAAAAA